UUGGAGGGCAAGUCUGGUGCCAGCAGCCGCGGUAAUUCCAGCUCCAAUAGCGUAUAUUAAAGUUGUUGCAGUUAAAAAGCUCGUAGUUGAAUUUCGGGAUCAAUAUGCCGGUCAUGCCUUGGUAUGCACUGGUAUCUUUGAUUUCUCCCUUCUGACGAACUUUGAUGUCAUUAAUUUGGUGUCAUAGGGAAUCGGGACUGUUACUUUGAAAAAAUUAGAGUGUUUAAAGCAGGCUCACGCUUGAAUACAUUAGCAUGGAAUAAUGAAAUAGGACGUUUGAUUCUAUUUUGUUGGUUUCUAGGAUCGACGUAAUGAUUAAUAGGGAUAGUUGGG
rnacentral:sRNA from 1 species